UCCGUGGCUUCCCGAUCCCCCUGGAAUUCGUACCUGACGACGAAGAGGAGAGAGCUCCCGCCCCCGAGAGCUCGUCGCCGCUCCCUUCCUUCGACUUCCCAAAGACCGGAACGGCGGAGAGCGAGAGCAGGCAACUCGAAGUCGGCGGCGGUGGUCCUUCGUCGGACGCGCUCUCGGAUCUUGGUCGCUUUGAAGGUUCCAUGGACCCCGAGGGCUUCGAGCCGGCCAGGGACUUCGAGAGCGACACUUCCCUCGACUCCACUUUCGAGUUCAUUGGCCCCGCGACCCUCGUCAGCAGCGGUCGGGCCGGAGACGAGGAGGCCCUGAUGCUGGACCCUCUACAAGCCGUGGCUCCUUCGACAUCCCGAGAAAACCGACAGAGAGAAAGGAGCCAGAAUCUACAGCCGGACAAGUAACGGAAACCUCCUCCUUGGCGCACCAUAGCGGAAACCUCCCCCUUGGCGCACCAUAGCGGAAACCUCCUCUUGGCGCACUGUAGCGGAAACCUGCCUUGGCACACCAUCAUCACCAUGCACCUUGUUGAUAAUGAUUGUGCUUUUCGUCACUUACUGUAGUUACUAAUCCCCUCCCCCCUCCCCCCCCCCUCCCCCCCUUCCAUUCUCGAGAUGAUUUCGAAAAAUAUGCAUUUCGAAUCGCCCUGUAUUUUGCUCGCUUCACCCCGUAUCUCUAUUGUCAUUAGUUCGUUACACUAUGUUUGUUUUUUUGUAUUCUCGACACUUAUUUCGUAAUUGAUUGUGCAAGAAUUAUCACUGUAGCUUUGUGACACCCACUUUUGCGUAGCCACUGCCACCUGUUACGUAAGCACUUUGAAAGUUGUUUGUGAUGCCACCUUUGUUACGAAAACCACUGUAGUAAUUAUGCUGGUUUAUUUGUUUAUUAUUUUCUUUUGCUCUUUUAGCUGUGUGUCAUCUCGACUGCCUGGCUGUCGUCUUUCUUUCUUUCUUUCUUUGUUUCUCUCUCUCUCUCU
rnacentral:lncRNA from 1 species